AUUGAACGCUGGCGGCAUGCUUUACACAUGCAAGUCGAGCGGCAGCGCGGGGGCAACCCUGGCGGCGAGCGGCGAACGGGUGAGUAAUACAUCGGAACGUGUCCCGUAGUGGGGGAUAGCUCGGCGAAAGCCGGAUUAAUACCGCAUAUGCUCUACGGAGGAAAGCGGGGGAACCGCAAGGACCUCGCGCUAUGGGAGCGGCCGAUGUCCGAUUAGCUUGUUGGUGGGGUAACGGCUUACCAAGGCGACGAUCGGUAGCUGGUCUGAGAGGAUGAUCAGCCACACUGGGACUGAGACACGGCCCAGACUCCUACGGGAGGCAGCAGUGGGGAAUUUUGGACAAUGGGGGAAACCCUGAUCCAGCCAUGCCGCGUGAGUGAAGAAGGCCU
rnacentral:rRNA from 1 species